AUGAAAUAAAAAAAAUGAACCGACAGAAGUUUCGAUAUGUCCAAAGCCAAUUUUUUUUCUUCUCUGUUCGAAACUAAGAAGUCGAAUUCUUACUCAGUUUCUUCGAUCUAUGAGCCAAUUUUUUCAUAAUUCUUUGAUCUAUGAGCGUUUUGUGCAUCAAAUCCAAGCUAAAAUCGGAUGGAGUUUCCGAUUUGUAUUAGAUGGUCACUAAUACAAAACCACCGAUGGUCAAGAUUCAUGCAAAGCUCGUUUAUGUAAAGAUGAUGAAAGGCGAAGACUUAUAGCACAACCAGACGAAGAAAGUGUUUCUACUACAAUGAAAAGAUAAGCCUUUUUUGUGUCUGUGCUAUUAACUCAGUUUUUUCCUAUACAUGCAACAAUAUAUACGAUGUGUUUCAGAAUUAGAAUAAACUGAUGGGUUUUUGUAAUUUGUUGUUCUCUCUGUUUGUUUUCUGAUUAAUGUGUUUUAAAAAAAUUUCAGUGAAGGACGGUAUCUAGAUAAAAUUCAACGGUGGCGUAGAUGAAGAUUGAAGUCUAAAACAGUAAAGAUAAGCUUUAUACUCUAUCUGUUAUCCUAAAGUUAUUUAUAUAAAUAAAUUCGACUCAAAGCAGAUUCACUUCGCUACAAUACUAAUAUGGUAUAUAUUAAUGUCUGCAGCUUAUAUAUAAUGUUGUACUUGGAAUCAUUACAAUCAUUGCACGGAUGAAGAUCGAAGUCUAAAACAGUAAAGAUAAGCUUUCUCCUCUAUCUAUUGUCCUGAAGUUCUCCAUCUGUCUCAUUAUAGGUUGCUUACUCUGUUUUUUUCUAUACAUGGAAGAAUUGACAGGAAGGUGCUCACAAAAUAGAACAAAAGGACAUCAAUAAGAAGCUCAAAGUCUAAAACACUAAAGAUAAGCUUUUUCCUCUAUCUAUUGUCCUGAAGUUCUCCAUCGUAACAUUAUUAAUGACUUCAGGUUAUAUACAAUUUUACAAUACUAAUAUGUAUAUGUUGGACUUGCAUCAUAUUUGUAUGGCAGGAUUCUCGUAUAACAGCACCAAAGGCCAUUCGUAUAAUAGGAAAUUCGUUCUAAUCACCAGCAAUGGUAGCAGUGGUUGACAAUAGCACCAAAGGCCAUUCGUCACAUCUUUUAAAACUGAAUGUGAGGUCAGGAAGAUCAGCUAGAUCAUCUUGAGUCCGCUUUGAUGUAGGUGUUUUCAAUACUCCCGAGCUCGCUUCAGCAUCAUCCAAGUGUGGAUCGUUUUCACUUGAAUACACCAGUCGCUUCUGCGAGGCUUCAACUGUGAAAGGGUAAUGUUUCAAAGCUUUAUUGAUUAUUUGGCAAAGCUGGCGAUGAGUAAUGAGAGAUGGUGAUGAGCUGAGGCAAAAAAAUACAUAUGCUGUGUAAAGAGUCGUUGGUUGAUAAUAACUAUAAUGAUGAGACAUAUGUAAAUAAUCGUUCAUAUAGGUAGUUAAGUUGGUCUUUUUUUCA